rnacentral:rRNA from 1 species
AACGAACGCUGGCGGCAGGCCUAACACAUGCAAGUCGAGCGAGGACUUCGGUUCUAGCGGCGGACGGGUGAGUAACGCGUGGGAAUGUUCCCUUCUCUACGGAAUAGCCCUGGGAAACUGGGAGUAAUACCGUAUACGCCCUAUUGGGGAAAGAUUUAUCGGAGAAGGAUCAGCCCGCGUUGGAUUAGGUAGUUGGUGGGGUAAUGGCCUACCAAGCCGACGAUGCAUAGCUGGUUUGAGAGAAUGAUCAGCCACACUGGGACUAAGACACGGCCCAGACUCCUACGGGAGGGGGCAGUGGGGAAUGGUAGAAAAUGGGGGCAGCCCUGAACUAGCCAUGCCGGGUAAGUGAUGAAGGCCUUGGGGAUGUAAAGCUCUUUCAGCUGGGAAGAUAUUGACGGUACCAGCAGAAGAAGCCCCGGCUAACUCCGUG